rnacentral:tRNA from 1 species
UGUGUGGCUUAAAGGUAGAGCACAGGCCUUUCAUGUCUGAGGCCCUGAGUUUCAUCCACAGCACA